AUUGGACGCUGGCGGCAUGCCUUACACAUGCAAGUCGAACGGCAGCACGGGGGCAACCCUGGUGGCGAGUGGCGAACGGGUGAGUAACGCAUCGGAAUGUACCCAGUAGUGGGGGAUAACUAGUCGAAAGACUGGCUAAUACCGCAUACGCACUACGGUGGAAAGCGGGGGAUCGCAAGACCUCGCGCUAUUGGAGCAGCCGAUGUCCGAUUAGGUAGUUGGUGGGGUAAAAGCCUACCAAGCCUGCGAUCGGUAGCUGGUCUGAGAGGACGACCAGCCAUAAGGGGACUGAGACACGGCCCAGAUUCCGACGGUCGGAAGUAGUGGGGAAUUUUGCACCAUGUGGUCAACCCUGAUCUAUCAUUGGCGCGUGUGUGAAGAAGGCCUUUGGGUUGUAAAGCACUGUUGGUGGGAACGAAACGGCGCUUGCUAAUACCAGGCGCUAAUGACGGUAUCCGCAGCAUAAGCACCGGCUAACGACGUGCUAGCCGCCGCAGUAA
rnacentral:rRNA from 1 species